UGAUUGCAGUGCGCAAGGCAUCACAAGUAGCUCCCAGCAAGCUAUGGUGCUGAUCGCGAGAGACUGGCCAAGGGAAGAGCACGAAAGAAAGUGGUCUGCGAGGGCGCGGGAACAAAAAGCAAGCAUAUUUGACAAGACUUGGAGGAGUUGAUGACAUCGACAUGGUGAAAAAAACAAUGUCUGCAACUCUCUCAAAUGGAGUCAUGUCUCAAAUGAAUUUAAAGGGAAAAUGUGGGAAGCUCCCAUUUUCUCAGACCCAUCUCUUCCAGAUCAUAUUUGGC